rnacentral:rRNA from 1 species
GCAUGCUGGAGGUAUCAGAAGUGCGAAUGCUGACAUAAGUAACGAUAAAGCGGGUGAAAAGCCCGCUCGCCGGAAGACCAAGGGUUCCUGUCCAACGUUAAUCGGGGCAGGGUGAGUCGACCCCUAAGGCGAGGCCGAAAGGCGUAGUCGAUGGGAAACAGGUUAAUAUUCCUGUACUUGGUGUUACUGCGAAGGGGGGACGGAGAAGGCUAUGUUGGCCGGGCGACGGUUGUCCCGGUUUAAGCGUGUAGGCUGGUUUUCCAGGCAAAUCCGGAAAAUCAAGGCUGAGGCGUGAUGACGAGGCACUACGGUGCUGAAGCAACAAAUGCCCUGCUUCCAGGAAAAGCCUCUAAGCAUCAGGUAACAUCAAAUCGUACCCCAAACCGACACAGGUGGUCAGGUAGAGAAUACCAAGGCGCUUGAGAGAACUCGGGUGAAGGAACUAGGCAAAAUGGUGCCGUAACUUCGGGAGAAGGC